UUGCCCUGGUUCAACUAGGGUUCUAAGGCAAA
rnacentral:piRNA from 1 species